rnacentral:rRNA from 1 species
GAGACAGCAGUAGCCACGGUAAUACAGAGGGUGCGAGCGUUAAUCGGAUUUACUGGGCGUAAAGCGUGCGUAGGCGGCUAAUUGAGUCGGAUGUGAAAUCCCCGAGCUUAACUUGGGAAUUGCAUUCGAUACUGGUUAGCUAGAGUGUGGGAGAGGAUGGUAGAAUUCCAGGUGUAGCGGUGAAAUGCGUAGAGAUCUGGAGGAAUACCGAUGGCGAAGGCAGCCAUCUGGCCUAACACUGACGCUGAGGUACGAAAGCAUGGGGAGCAAACAGGAUUAGAUACCCCCGUAGUCCCUGUCUCUUAUAC